AUUGAACGCUGGCGGCAUGCUUUACACAUGCAAGUCGAACGGCAGCGCGGGCUUCGGCCUGGCGGCGAGUGGCGAACGGGUGAGUAAUGCAUCGGAACGUGCCCAGUAGUGGGGGAUAGCCCGGCGAAAGCCGGAUUAAUACCGCAUACGACCUGAGGGUGAAAGCGGGGGACCGAAAGGCCUCGCGCUAUUGGAGCGGCCGAUGUCGGAUUAGCUAGUUGGUGGGGUAAAGGCUUACCAAGGCGACGAUCCGUAGCUGGUCUGAGAGGACGACCAGCCACACUGGGACUGAGACACGGCCCAGACUCCUACGGGAGGCAGCAGUGGGGAAUUUUGGACAAUGGGGGCAACCCUGAUCCAGCCAUGCCGCGUGCGGGAAGAAGGCCUUCGGGUUGUAAACCGCUUUUGUUCGGGAAGAAAUCCUCUGGGCUAAUACCCCGGGGGGAUGACGGUACCGGAAGAAUGAGCACCGGCUAACUACGUG
rnacentral:rRNA from 1 species